CAGCCGCCACGGUAAUACGUAGGGUGCGAGCGUUAAUCGGAAUUACUGGGCGUAAAGCGUGCGCAGGCGGUUUUGUAAGACAGGCGUGAAAUCCCCGGGCUCAACCUGGGAAUGGCGCUUGUGACUGCAAAGCUAGAGUGCGGCAGAGGGGGAUGGAAUUCCGCGUGUAGCAGUGAAAUGCGUAGAUAUGCGGAGGAACACCGAUGGCGAAGGCAAUCCCCUGGGCCUGCACUGACGCUCAUGCACGAAAGCGUGGGGAGCAAACAGGAUUAGAUACCCCCGUAGUCCCUGUCUCUUAUAC
rnacentral:rRNA from 1 species